rnacentral:rRNA from 1 species
UCAAGCUGAAAAGAGCGCAAGGGGAAUGCCUUGGCAUCAGGAGCCGAAGAAGGACGUGACAAGCUGCGAUAAGCUUCGGGGAGGUGCAAAUAACCGUCGAUCCGGAGAUUUCCGAAUGGGGAAACCCGGCAGAGCAAUACUCUGUCAGCGUGCGUUGAAUCAAAUAGGCGUACGUGGGGAACCGCCUGAACUGAAACAUCUAAGUAGGGCGAGGAAGAGAAAUCAACCGAGAUUCCGCUAGUAGUGGCGAGCGAACGCGGAAGAGGCCAAACCGGAGGUAGCAAUAUUUCCGGGGUUAGGACUGCAAUAUGUAACUUUAAUCUUUAACUGAAUGCUUUGGGAAGAGCAGCGAAACAGGGUGACAGCCCCGUAAGUGAAAGAGAUUGAGUGCUAGCAGUAUCCAGAGUACCAGCGGACACGUGAAACCCGCUGGGAAGAUGGGGGGACCAUCCUCCAAGCCUAAAUACUACUCAGUGACCGAUAGUGGAGCAGUACCGUGAGGGAAAGGUGAAAAGUACCCCGGGAGGGGAGUGAAAGAGAACCUGAAACCUUGUGCCUACAAGCACCGAGAGCACGUUAAAGUGUGAUCGGGUACUUUUUGUAGAACGGUCCGGCGAGUUAAUAUUUGCAGCGAGGUUAAGGAACUGGAGUUCCGGAGCCGCAGCGAGAGCGAGUCUGAAUAGGGCGUAUGAAGUUGCAGGUAUUAGACCCGAAACCGGGUGACCUAUCCAUGAGCAGGCUGAAGCGGUGGUAAGACACCGUGGAGGGCCGCACCCACGUCUGUUGAAAAAGCCGGGGAUGACUUGUGGAUAGCGGAGAAAUUCCAAUCGAACUCGGAGAUAGCUGGUUCUCCCCGAAAUAGCUUUAGGGCUAGCGUUAUUUUAGAUUACCGGAGGUAAAGCACUGAAUGGUCUAGGGGCCGCGAGGUUACCAAAGCCUAUCAAACUCUGAAUGCCGGAUAAUUGAUGAAUAGCAGUCAGACUGUGUGAGAUAAGUCUCAUAGUCAAAAGGGAAACAGCCCAGAUCUACAGCUAAGGUCCCAAAUGAACACUAAGUGGAAAAUGAUGUGAAACUGCGAAGACAACCAGGAUGUUGGCUUAGAAGCAGCCACUCAUUCAAAGAGUGCGUAAUAGCUCACUGGUCGAGUGGUUUUGCGCAGAAAAUGUAACGGGGCUAAGUGUUCAACCGAAGCUUAGGCAUUGCAGUAAUGCAUUGGGUAGGGGAGCGUCGUAUGCGGGGCGAAGUCAGAGCGGAAGCACUGGUGGACUGCAUACGAGUGAGAAUGCCGGAAUAAGUAGCGAGAAUUAUGUGAGAAUCAUAAUGGCCGAAAAUCUAAGGUUUCCUGGGGAAGGUUCGUCCGCCCAGGGUUAGUCGGGAGCUAAGCUCAGGCCGAAAGGCGUAGGCGAUGCACAUACGGUAGAAAUUCCGUAACCACCGAACAUUUAAGCUAGAGGGACGCUUUCUUUAAGGUUAUCCCGGGCGAUGGUUGCCCCGGGCGUAAGGGACCGAAAUUUAGUAGGGAAGUAACUGGCGAGAGAGACGAGAAAAGCUCUAGUGUAUACUAAGGUGCCCGUACCGCAAACCGACACAGGUAGAUGGGAUGAGUAUUCUAAGGCCAACGGGAGAAGGGUUGUUAAGGAACUCGGCAAAUUGGCCCCGUAACUUCGGGAUAAGGGGCGCCUGCGAGAGCAGGCCGCAGUGAAAAGGCCCAAGCGACUGUUUAGCAAAAACACAGCUCUCUGCUAAAUCGAAAGAUGACGUAUAGGGGGUGACGCCUGCCCGGUGCUGGAAGGUUAAGGGGAGUGCUUAGCGCAAGCGAAGGUGCGAACUUAAGCCCCAGUAAACGGCGGCCGUAACUAUAACGGUCCUAAGGUAGCGAAAUUCCUUGUCAGGUAAGUUCUGACCCGCACGAAUGGCGUAACGAUUUGGGCACUGUCUCAACAGCCCGCCCGGCGAAAUUGUAGUACCGGUGAAGAUGCCGGUUUCCCGCAACUAGACGGAAAGACCCCAUGGAGCUUCACUGUAGCUUGAUAUUGGAUCUCGGUAUUCCAUGUACAGGAUAGGUGGGAGACUUGGAAGUAAGCGCGCCAGCGUUUAUGGAGUCAACCUUGGGAUACCACUCUUGGGAUAUUGGGAUUCUAACCUGCGACCAUGAAUCUGGUCGGGGGACACUGUCAGGUGGGCAGUUUGACUGGGGCGGUCGCCUCCAAAAGAGUAACGGAGGCGCUCAAAGGU